CGGAUCGGAGUCUGNAACCCGACUCCGUGAAGCUGGAUUCGCUAGUAAUCGCGCAUCAGCCAUGGCGCGGUGAAUACGUUCCCGGGCCUUGUACACACCGCCCGUCACACCAUGAGAGUUGAGAAUACCCGAAGCCCAUGUCAAAGUGGCCGAAGGUAGGCUUGAUGAUUGGGGUGAAGUCGUAACAAGGUAAC
rnacentral:rRNA from 1 species